GACCUUGCGUCUACAGCCCAAGCGUUAAGCGAAAGGCUGAUGGCUGGUGGCUUUUGCCACCGGCCU
rfam:Pseudomonadales bacterium RIFCSPHIGHO2_02_FTLL_60_43 rifcsphigho2_02_scaffold_292543, whole genome shotgun sequence.